UCCACCACCUCCCUGGGCAGCCAUUCCAGUGCCUGACCACUCUCUGAGAAGAAAAGUUCCUUUGUAUGUCAAGUCUAAACCUCUUCUGAUACAACUUGUGGCCAGACAAGCAGCUUGAUAUAAAGAUGAGCAAACGGGGACUGAUUUCUACCUGAGCUACCACGGCAUAACAGAAUCAUUUGACUCAUACAGCUUUAAGAAUAAAAUGGCAAAACAAACAGUAAGUACAGAUACCUUUCUGCUGUAUUUCAUUAGAUUUUUUUGGCGUUGCCCGUCCUGGAGUCUGACCUGUUUAAAGUUUUCUUCUGUGUCCUGGAAGGAGAGAAAAACAGCAACUGUAAAGUAAUAAUUUGGAAGCAGAAUAUGUAUAUUACCUUCUGCAAAAAGACUUGUUUUAGUAAAUAAAUCUAGUCACCGAUUUCUUUGUAUAUUUAUCUGUAAGGACAUUCCAUUCAUUGCCUAAUUUCUUCCUGGCAGACUUUGGAUAUGAUGAAAAUCAAUAUUAUAACUGGAACCUGUACCUGUACAAAGUCUAGUCAGUUUUCCUGUUAUCUUGUUUUCUGGUAAUACCUAAAUGCUAUUUUAUUAUCCCUUUGCAUAUUCCUAUAUCCUGUGUUAGAACAUGUCUCAUUAGCCAUCAGUUUGUGCUCUGAUAUGACAAGUUCAUGCCUUCCUAUGUUUCACUAAUGAAAUUACUGCUGCGGAACUACAUGUGGUCUGGAAACUUCAUCUGGUUUUCAUCACAUCCCAAUUCUGAAGCUCCAUUCCAGUGGCUGUUUUGGUAGUAUUUGAUGAGAAAGAAGUGGUGAUUUCCUGUAAAUGGAAAUAUUUGGCUCCGCUUCUUACUUUCACCACUCCCAAAUUUCUGUUCAGGUAAGAAAUCCACAUAAAACUGGAUUGUAACUUACUCUCCAAGCGAGAAAGUCCUUACAAGUGUACUCAUGUUCUACUUUGAGCUCUUAUUUAACACAUCUUCUGUACAGAAUUCUAAUGAAGAUUUACACUGUGAGUGGCUUCCUCUUUCCUCCACUCAGAAAGGAAAGAGAAGAGUCCACAAAAAGAAAUGAGGUAAAAGUAGCUUUGCAUAAUUAAGUGGGGGAAAAAAAAUUAGAACCCAAAUUAGAACUCAUCCAAAUAAGCUUUCCGGGCUGUUCAUGAAGAGAACCAAGGGGUAUUUUCAUAUGCGAUACAAACAUCAGUUAAGAUUUAGGCUUUACAUUUUUUUGUAACUGUCCCAGAGAGUGAAUGAAAGAACACGAAUAAAAGUCCUGCACAGACUAUACCUCAUAUACUCAUACCUCAAGUGAUUCUCCUCUUAUUCCAGCUGUAUCUAUGUUUUCAGACUGGUCUUCAGCUUUCCCUUGACUCACCAGAAAGGUUUUAUCUGGUAUUUUUUGAUUCUCCUAUGGAAUAUGUUUAUAUUUUGAUUAAUAAUUAAGUGAAUUACAUUAAAAUAGGAAAAGGAAAUAUGA